rnacentral:rRNA from 1 species
AGCAGUCGCCGCGGUAAUACGUAGGUGGCAAGCGUUGUCCGGAAUUAUUGGGCGUAAAGCGCGCGCAGGCGGAUAGGUCGGUCUGUCUUAAAAGUUCGGGGCUUAACCCCGUGAUGGGAUGGAAACUGCCAAUCUAGAGUAUCGGAGAGGAAAGUGGAAUUCCUAGUGUAGCGGUGAAAUGCGUAGAUAUUAGGAAGAACACCAGUGGCGAAGGCGACUUUCUGGACGAAAACUGACGCUGAGGCGCGAAAGCCAGGGGAGCGAACGGGAUUAGAUACCCGAGUAGUCCCUGUCUCUUAUACC